UUUUUCACCACAACUAUAUUU
rnacentral:piRNA from 1 species